rnacentral:rRNA from 1 species
AUUGAACGCUGGCGGCAUGCCUUACACAUGCAAGUCGAACGUGAAAGCGGGGCAACCCGCAAGUAGAGUGGCGGACGGGUGAGUAAUACAUCGGAACGUGUCCAGUAAUGGGGGAUAACCUAGCGAAAGUUAGGCUAAUACCGCAUACGAUCUGCGGAUGAAAGCGGGGGAUGCGGCACUAAAGGCUUUUGGCGAAGGUGGCCAAAGGUGAGUCAAGAGCUUUUAGUGCNGCACCUCGCGUUAUUGGAGCGGCUGAUGUCUGAUUAGCUAGUUGGUGAGGUAAAGGCUUACCAAGGCGACGAUCAGUAGCUGGUCUGAGAGGACGGCCAGCCACACUGGGCCUGA